rnacentral:lncRNA from 1 species
GUCCUCCUGAUUUGUAGAGAAGCCUUGAAGCCUUUCCUUGACCACUCAGUAAAGAGUUCCUGAGCACUUUCAAGGUGCUGCUCGAAGCAGAGACGUCAUAAUGGACAGCUCCUGGCCUCAUGGGCCGUGAAGGCUGAGGGCUGACCACGGCUCCUUUGAUCACCAUGUCUCCUUCAGGCCCCUACUCUCCCUCAGUGGGAGCUGGAAUCUCACAGUUCUCCCUCCAGUAGUGAACCAUUACGUAUCUGGAUGGUUUUCUUCCAGGUCCUCAAUGUUUUCAUCAUAGCCCUGCCCUCAGAUUGACAUUAAAAAUAAAAAAAAAAUUUAUGUCAUCUAUAAAAGCAUUGAUUGAACACCCGUCUUUUCUAAGAAAAGAUAGAAGUUUAUGGUUGUCUCAUCGCAGCCAACCAGCAUGUUAUUCCUGUGCUAGCAAGGAGACACCGCAGACCUCUGGCUUUGUGAUUUCACACAUUGGCAAGCUGAGAGAUUUUCUUCUGGAACAUAGAAAAGAUUAUAUUAAUGCUUAUAGUCAUGUCAUGUCUGAAUACGGGAGAAUGACGGACACAGAACGAGACCAGAUAGACCAAGACGCUCAGACGUUCAUGAGGACCUGCUCAGAAGCGAUCCAGCAGCUGAGAACACAAGCCCACAAGGAGAUACACUCUCAGCAAGUGAAGGAGCACAGGACUGCCGUUUUGGAUUUCAUUGAAGAUUACUUAAAAAGAGUGUGUAAACUUUACUCAGAACAAAGAGCCAUCCGAGUCAAGCGAGUGGUGGACAAGAAAAGAUUGUCUAAGCUGGAACCAGAACCAAACGCAAAGACAAGAGAAUCCAUGUCUUCUGAGAAAGUUUCACAGAGUCCAUCAAAAGACUCUGAAGAAAAACCUAUCCCUGAAGAAUAUCCAGAAAAGGUUCCAGUCGAAGCACAACCUGAAUUGGGAAGCUGGGGAGAUGGCAAAGGUGAAGAUGAAUUAUCCCCAGAGGAAAUACAAAUGUUUGAACAAGAAAAUCAGCGCCUGAUUGGUGAAAUGAACAGCCUGUUUGAUGAAGUGAGGCAAAUUGAAGGGAAAGUGGUUGAAAUCUCCAGACUCCAAGAGAUCUUCACAGAGAAGGUUUUACAGCAAGAAGCCGAGAUUGACAGUAUUCACCAGUUAGUAGUUGGAGCAACUGAAAAUAUCAAGGAGGGCAAUGAAGACAUAAGAGAGGCCAUCAAGAACAACGCCGGCUUCCGGGUGUGGGUGCUCUUCUUCUUGGUGAUGUGCUCCUUCUCCCUGCUCUUCCUCGAUUGGAAGAACGCCGGUCAGUAGCUCCUCAGGGCAGAGGACCUGUGCUCCCUGUGGUUUCCUGUGUGCCUGAGCAACUGAUGCACAGACUCCCGAGCAGAGGAAAAAACGGCUCACCUUCAUUCACCCUGGAAAACUAGUAAUAAAACCGCAGCCAUUUACUGUCUUACUGGUGGG